CCUACGGGACGCAGCAGUGGGGAAUAUUGCACAAUGGGCGCAAGCCUGAUGCAGCCAUGCCGCGUGUAUGAAGAAGGCCUUCGGGUUGUAAAGUACUUUCAGCGGGGAGGAAGGCGAUAAGGUUAAUAACCUUGUCGAAUGACGUUACCCGCAGAAGAAGCACCGGCUAACUCCGUGCCAGCAGCCGCGGUAAUACGGAGGGUGCAAGCGUUAAUCGGAAUUACUGGGCGUAAAGCGCACGCAGGCGGUCUGUCAAGUCGGAUGUGAAAUCCCCGGGCUCAACCUGGGAACUGCAUUCGAAACUGGCAGGCUAGAGUCUUGUAGAGGGGGGUAGAAUUCCAGGUGUAGCGGUGAAAUGCGUAGAGAUCUGGAGGAAUACCGGUGGCGAAGGCGGCCCCCUGGACAAAGACUGACGCUCAGGUGCGAAAGCGUGGGGAGCAAACAGGAUUAGAUACCCGGGUAGUC
rnacentral:rRNA from 1 species